GCAUUUUGCAGCACACAGAGAUAGUAUUUGGGGAACAAGAUAGCAAUGAGGGAUUCUGUCGUUUCCUGCUCUCCUGUGUCUGAGGGUCCACUGAAGCGGAACAAGAGCCAGCUGGAAGUGAUCUUACUGGGUUCCGGAAGGAAAAAUACUGCUGUUUCGAGCACAGCGACCUAGAUGGAGGCAAGCCUUGAUUCAAGCCAACUUGGAUCCAGUACAUCUAAGAGAGAGGCCUUGGAACCUCUUCCCCAGAAGACAACGUCUGCUCUGACCAGCCGAGGGAGGGAGGGAGAAAUGAAGAAACUAAGAAACCAAGAAAGAGAUGAAUCAACACUUAUGCAACAUAUGCUCUUAAAGAAUGGAAAUCCAGCUAAUUGAUAAAAGAGAACAAAGUCUUUAAGAUGAGGAAAAGGCCCAAGAAAAAACCCACCUGUUGUUGUUCAUCUGGCAUAUAAACAUUUCUUCUCACGUGGAGGCAGGCUCUGUUUUAACAAUUUGACAAUAAAAUAAAAUCAGGACUUGAACCUUCUCCCUUCAGCUGAUUCAUAAAUCCUGGCAGCAAAUCAAUCUUUGUGACUCUGUGGAGAAUCCUGGUCUUUUCAAGGAAAGAGCAAAGAUGGAGAAGGCUGGUAUGGAAGAGAUGGGCUCUUUUAAGCAACUCUGUAUUUUUAUGGCCUGAAAUGAACCCAUGUAGCCUCCGUUUCCUUUCCUGUGCUCACUCCACCCACCCGACCCCCAUCCACAAUAGCAAUUUUUAUUCCUUGUCUGAUUUCACCAAGCACGCCAAAAGUGGAAUGCUCACCAGAGUAAUUUAAUGAUGGCAAGAACAAAACAGCAAGUUCAAACAGGGAACGUGUGUUUUGUGCUCUAACACCACAGCCACUGCAGGAGUGUAGAAGGGUGGCAUUUUCUCCUCCAAGGAGCAAGAGUACAGCCUGACCCCGAGAAGAGAGGCCACCCCUGGGGGCCUCUGGAGACAGAGCUGGGGGAGAGCCACCUGGUGGAGAAACCAGGGCAGGGCGUGGUUACAGUGACCAAGUGGAGGACUGAGACACUCUGGUCGUCUUCCUGAAGACUCCCUCAAUCCACCCAUGGUGAGAUCUACCUAUUUGUCAAUCAGCCCACGUAUUAUGCGAAGUAUGUGGGUCAAGUAUAGUGGAAGGAAAACGAGGGGGCAAAUAGAGAGGUGUUUCUGUGGGUCUAAUUAAGGAGGUGACUAAGUGAAAUACACGAAGCCCCAAAAGGAGAAACUAGGAGCAUUUUCAGUGCUCUCAUUGACCGUGGUCCUUUGGCUCAGGGCAUGGCAAUAGCUCAUCCUUGUGGGUCCCUUGAAAUGCUACUUCACAGAGUCUGAUUAAAGGAGCCUGUGGCUGAGAAAAUGAAUAAUGUUAAUCCCACAUUUUACUUCAAUUACUCCCUACGCAUUUGAGCUGGGUAAAAAAAAAAAAAAAUGCUCUGUGGUGAUCAAAUAUCCCCAGUAGGACCUGAAAGGUGGGCAUUGUGUGGCUGGGAAUCGCACUGUGCUGCUUGAAUUGCCUGCUUGUUGUGUUACAGAACCUCUCUGAUCAUAAGCAAAGACUGCCAAAUUACCCAGAGCAAUCCACCCUGUAGCACUUAAAAAAAUAAAUAAUAAAAAAGACUGUGCUUUUAAAAGAACAAAUUGAAGGCAGUUAUUGCUUUCUUCCCUUUUGGGUUCUUCCUCCUGAUUAUCCUGGUCCAUGUGCUGUAAGAACACACACACCAGGCUCCUGCUUUCCCAGAAUCCCAAGCUGCAUGUUAUUACAACUGUUCUCUAGAAUAAGAAUGGGCAGAAAUCCACAAGGCAAUUCUUUUGAGGGCAAAAGAGCCAGGGACGUAUGUUGUUUGUGGCUGACCGCAUCUUUAGAACACCCUCUCUUCUUUUUGAUAGGGUUCCACAAUUUUAGUCCCAUAUCCCUAAAGUAGGAUCUCAAAAACUCUGUUUCCAAGCUUUCCUUACAACUAGAUACAGGCAUGUGAUUUAGGUUCCACCAAUCAGACACAGACAUUCAAAACUGAUUUGAAAGUAAGCCCAGAGCAGAAGAGGCUUUUGGAUGACAUAAAGCUGUGGGCACAGGUAGUGAGUGGUGAAGCCUUGGAAGACGGUGCCAACUCAGGCAGUUGUGUGGAAUGCUUUAGGGGUAGCAACGUGUGCACUUGCCGUCUUGUCAAGUCAGAGGCCUGGCUUUGAGCACUGAACAUGCAAGUUCAGCCUUGAGGCCAUUUUUCUGGUCUUUCCUGUCCACUAUGCUCUCUUAAAGUCUUCCUUUCCUGCUCAACCCAAGGUGGAUCCUGUUAUCUACAGCUAAACAUGACCUCACCCAACAGGCACACACAGACAUGCAACGGGACUCCACUUGCAAACAAGGGUGCAAGAAAGCUCUUAAAUCAAGGGAUUCUAAUCUUGACCUGGGCUUGGUACUGAGGAGCCCUUCAAGGGUUGGGAGGUUUGAGUGAGCUGUUCUGGUCUCUCAGGCAAAACUCAUGGAGAAAAAAAAUGAUUGCAGCUAAAACACAGGAUCACAUCUACUCUCAUGAGACAGCCCAACAAGUGACAGUCUAGACGGGGUUAUUCUAGGAGCAUUGCCUUUCUCUCCUUGAUGGAAAUGCCACCAUCAUGAGUGUCUUAUUGGAGGGCAAAUCCUUCAGAUAUUGCUUACUCCUUCGUUAGCUGAGUGGCAGACUGUAGCUGAUAGAGUUCAGGAUCAAGUUCUUGGGCAAGAGUGCCAGGGGGGUCCCAAGAAGUGGAAGGUGGUAAAACACUGAAACAUUUC